CACUCUCCAUCAUCUCUCUCACUCCCUCACGCUACCUCACUACCACACACAUAUUCUCUCUGUAAAAAGAAAAUAAAAAGAAGAGAAAAAGAAGACAUUAAAUCUCUCUUACUGUUUAUCUUCUUGGAACACACCUACCACCAUCCCCAAUCGUCUUCUCCACAAAACCACCUUCGCCGUCCAACAACCACGACUCACGCUCACCUUCCUCGUCUCCGCGCAACUAUUUGUUCCAUCUCCUUCGUCCUUCAACCCUUCCUCCUCCGUAAAGUAAACCCUUCAACUCACCACACGGUGGAACCUUAAACCGUAAUCCUAAAAACCACACGCCGCCGCCAUCAUCUACUUCGUCAUCACCUUCAAACAACACCCAUCGUCGUUUCUCUCUCCGUCUUCUCCUCCACCGCGCCCUCAAUCAUCAAGCUAUCCACCUCCGACGCACUCCGUCACAACCACCGGCAACCACACUGAUAAGAUUCGUGAUUCAGAUUAGCAUUGGAGUAAAGAUGAGCACAAAUUAAAAUCCAAGAGCAAAGAGGGGUGAAUGGGUUGUUAACAAGCUCGCACCAAAGCCACUGAGGAAGCACCGCGUUAACACAAUUUUGGGAAUGGAUUUUGUUUGUCAGUUUGCAUUUUGAAGGACAGAAUGUGGUCAGUUAUCUUCUCCGCCCUCUGUUAUAAUGCCAUGCAUAACUUGUCACAAAGAUUAGAGUACAAAGUAAUAUAGUGUAGGAUGAGGCCAUCGACUUAAAUUGUUAUGUUUAAGCAUUUAAAAUCUUUUAUUAAGUUAAUGAAUUUUGUUGUUUU